rnacentral:rRNA from 1 species
CCUACGGGUGACAGCAGUGAGGAAUAUUGGUCAAUGGACGAGAGUCUGAACCAGCCCAGUAGCGUGAAGGAUGACUGCCCUAUGGGUUGUAAACUUCUUUUAUAUGGGAAUAAAACGUUCCACGUGUGGGAUUUUGUAUGUACCAUAUGAAUAAGGAUCGGCUAACUCCGUGCCAGCAGCCGCGGUAAUACGGAGGAUCCGAGCGUUAUCCGGAUUUAUUGGGUUUAAAGGGAGCGUAGGUGGAUUGUUAAGUCAGUUGUGAAAGUUUGCGGCUCAACCGUAAAAUUGCAGUUGAAACUGGCAGUCUUGAGUACAGUAGAGGUGGGCGGAAUUCGUGGUGUAGCGGUGAAAUGCUUAGAUAUCACGAAGAACUCCGAUUGCGAAGGCAGUUCACUGGACUGCAACUGACACUGAGGCUCGAAAGUGUGGGUAUCAAACAGGAUUAGAUACCCCAGUAGUC